AAAAUAUUGCAUUUUAUUUUUAGCUGCCGUUGCGUAGUUCCAGAGACUGGUGAUACAGUACCCGGCACAAUCAAACGUGGUUUAGACACAGUCGACAUGGACUGUGACCCUGGCCCACCCGUGGCAGGAGGACGCGGCAGAGGAAACAGCGAGCGGGGAAGAGGUGUAUGUGAAACUCACCCCAUUCGUUGCAAAAUGUCCUGUUCAACUGGGUUUAAAGUGGAAAAUGGGUGCGAAAUAUGCCAGUGCAACUAGACAUGGGAAGGUAGAAUUGUUUGAAAAACUCUUUAUUUUCGGUGCUUCAGAACAGAACAGUGGUACAUGGUAUAAUUUGUAUAGUUGUCAUAACUGUAUUCACUC